rnacentral:rRNA from 1 species
GACGAACGCUGGCGGCGUGCUUAACACAUGCAAGUCGAACGGAAAGGCCCUGCUUUUGUAGGGUGCUCGAGUGGCGAACGGGUGAGUAACACGUGAGUAACCUGCCCUUGACUUUGGGAUAACUUCAGGAAACUGGGGCUAAUACCGGAUAGGAGCUCCUGCUGCAUGGUGGGGGUUGGAAAGUUUCGGCGGUUGGGGAUGGACUCGCGGCUUAUCAGCUUGUUGGUGGGGUAGUGGCUUACCAAGGCUUUGACGGGUAGCCGGCCUGAGAGGGUGACCGGCCACAUUGGGACUGAGAUACGGCCCAGACUCGUACGGGAGGCAGCAGUGGGGAAUAUUGCACAAUGGGCGGAAGCCUGAUGCAGCAACGCCGCGUGCGGGAUGACGGCCUUCGGGUUGUAAACCGCUUUCGCCUGUGACGAAGCGUGAGUGACGGUAAUGGGUAAAGAAGCACCGGCUAACUACGUG